rnacentral:rRNA from 1 species
AACGAACGCUGGCGGCAUGCCUAACACAUGCAAGUCGAACGAUCCCUUCGGGGAUAGUGGCGCACGGGUGCGUAACGCGUGGGAACCUGCCCUUAGGUUCGGAAUAACUCAGAGAAAUUUGAGCUGAUACCGGAUAAUGUCUUCGGACCAAAGAUUUAUCGCCUUUGGAUGGGCCCGCGUUGGAUUAGCUAGUUGGUGGGGUAAAGGCCUACCAAGGCGACGAUCCAUAGCUGGUCUGAGAGGAUGAUCAGCCACACUGGGACUGAGACACGGCCCAGACUCCUACGGGAGGCAGCAGUGGGGAAUAUUGGACAAUGGGCGAAAGCCUGAUCCAGCAAUGCCGCGUGAGUGAUGAAGGCCUUAGGGUUGUAAAGCUCUUUUACCCGGGAUGAUAAUGACAGUACCGGGAGAAUAAGCCCCGGCUAACUCCGUG